rnacentral:rRNA from 1 species
CAGUAGCCGCGGGAAUACAGAGGGUGCGAGCGUUAAUCGGAUUUACUGGGCGUAAAGCGUGCGUAGGCGGCUUCUUAAGUCGGAUGUGAAAUCCCUGAGCUUAACUUAGGAAUUGCAUUCGAUACUGGGAAGCUAGAGUAUGGGAGAGGAUGGUAGAAUUCCAGGUGUAGCGGUGAAAUGCGUAGAGAUCUGGAGGAAUACCGGUGGCGAAGGCGGCCCCCUGGACAAAGACUGACGCUCAGGUGCGAAAGCGUGGGGAGCAAACAGGAUUAGAUACCCCAGUAGUCCCUGUCUCUUAUAA